AUUGAACGCUGGCGGCAGGCCUAACACAUGCAAGUCGAACGGUAACAGGAAGCAGCUUGCUGCUUUGCUGACGAGUGGCGGACGGGUGAGUAAUGUCUGGGAAACUGCCUGAUGGAGGGGGAUAACUACUGGAAACGGUAGCUAAUACCGCAUAACGUCGCAAGACCAAAGAGGGGGACCUUAGGGCCUCUUGCCAUCGGAUGUGCCCAGAUGGGAUUAGCUAGUAGGUGGGGUAACGGCUCACCUAGGCGACGAUCCCUAGCUGGUCUGCGAGGAUGACCAGCCACACGGGAACUGAGACACGGUCCAGACUCCUACGGGAGGCAGCAGUGGGGAAUAUUGCACAAUGGGCGCAAGCCUGAUGCAGCCAUGCCGCGUGUAUGAAGAAGGCCUUCGGGUUGUAAAGUACUUUCAGCGGGGAGGAAGGGAGUAAAGUUAAUACCUUUGCUCAUUGACGUUACCCGCAGAAGAAGCACCGGCUAACUCCGUG
rnacentral:rRNA from 1 species